UUAGGUAUUAGGGACUGAAUGUGGGACUUCAUGCAUGCUAAAAAAGUGGUCUACCACUGAGCUACAUCCUCCGCUAGUUGCUCCUAAGCUGAGUUGAAUCGUGGGCUAUUGAGAGCUGGAAGGACAUAAGAAGCUCUAUUAUUGCUGCUGUUUCGUUUUGUGGAAGAGGAGACUGCGGUCCACUGAAGCAUUUGGUAGCAUAAUGGCCCAAAUAGUAGUGUUUUCAAAGAUGGAUAUAAUAUGGAGGAAGUAAAUGCAUUGUUUCCUUUAGAAAUGAAGAACACUUGGAAAAUUUCUUCAAACUUUGUAAAUGUUUACUCCGUCUGAAGUUUUUAUAUGGUAGUGUGUUAUAUAAAUUUUAAUAUACCCUACUGUCAAGUGCAUGUAAAAAGAACAAUAAAUAAUAGUUUUCAAC
rnacentral:lncRNA from 1 species